AAUCAACGCUGGCGGCGUGCCUCAGACAUGCAAGUCGAACGCGAAAGUUUCCUUCGGGGAGCGAGUAGAGUGGCGCACGGGUGAGUAACACGUAGGUAAUCUACCUUCGGAUGGGGAAUAACAAUCGGAAACGGUUGCUAAUACCGCAUAAUGCAGCGGCACCUAAUGGUGACAGUUGUUAAAGCGGGGGAGUCGUAAGACCUCGCGUCUGAAGAGGAGCCUGCGGCGGAUUAGCUUGUUGGUAAGGUAAUGGCUUACCAAGGCGACGAUCCGUAACCGGCCUGAGAGGGCGGUCGGUCACACUGACACUGACAUACGGGUCAGACUCCUACGGGAGGCAGCAGUCGGGAAUUUUGGGCAAUGGGCGAAAGCCUGACCCAGCAACGCCGCGUGAAGGAUGAAA
rnacentral:rRNA from 1 species